CAGUGGCGAACGGGUGAGUAACACGUGGGCAACCUGCCCCUGACUUCGGGAUAACGCUUCGAAAGAGGUGCUAAUACCGAAUAUAAACGCGAAGGACAUCCUUUGCGUUGGAAAGUUUUUCGGUCAGGGAUGGGCCCGCGGCCUAUCAGCUUGUUGGUGAGGUAAUGGCUCACCAAGGCGACGACGGGUAGCCGGCCUGAGAGGGCGACCGGCCACACUGGGACUGAGACACGGCCCAGACUCCUACGGGAGGCAGCAGUGGGGAAUAUUGCGCAAUGGGCGAAAGCCUGACGCAGCAACGCCGCGUGGGGGAUGAAGGCCUUCGGGUUGUAAACCUCUUUCAGCAGGGAAGAAGCGAAAGUGACGGUACCUGCAGAAGAAGCACCGGCUAACUACGUGCCAGCAGCCGCGGUAAUACGUAGGGUGCAAGCGUUGUCCGGAUUUAUUGGGCGUAAAGAGCUCGUAGGCGGUUAGUCACGUCGGAUGUGAAAUCCCGGAGCUUAACUCCGGGCCUGCAUUCGAUA
rnacentral:rRNA from 1 species